UACGGAGGGUGCAGCGUUGUCCGGAAUUAUUGGGCGUAAAGCGCGUGUAGGCGGCUCGGUAAGUCUGCUCUGAAAGCCCGGGGCUCAACCCUGGGAGGCGGGUGGAUACUGCUGAGCUCGAGUCCGGAAGAGGCAAGUGGAAUUCCUGGUGUAGCGGUGAAAUGCGCAGAUAUCAGGAGGAACACCAAUGGCGAAGGCAGCUCGCUGGGACGGUACUGACGCUGAGACGCGAAAGCGUGGGGAGCAAACAGG
rnacentral:rRNA from 1 species